UGCUGGAGGUAUCAGAAGUGCGAAUGCUGACAUAAGUAACGAUAAAGCGGGUGAAAAGCCCGCUCGCCGGAAGACCAAGGGUUCCUGUCCAACGUUAAUCGGGGCAGGGUGAGUCGACCCCUAAGGCGAGGCCGAAAGGCGUAGUCGAUGGGAAACAGGUUAAUAUUCCUGUACUUGGUGUUACUGCGAAGGGGGGACGGAGAAGGCUAUGUUAGCCGGGCGACGGUUGUCCCGGUUUAAGCAUGUAGGCUGGUUAUCCAGGCAAAUCCGGAUAAUCAAGGCUGAGGUGUGAUGACGAGGCACUACGGUGCUGAAGUAACAAAUGCCCUGCUUCCAGGAAAAGCCUCUAAGCAUCAGGUAACAUCAAAUCGUACCCCAAACCGACACAGGUGGUCAGGUAGAGAAUACCAAGGCGCUUGAGAGAACUCGGGUGAAGGAACUAGGCAAAAUGGUGCCGUAACUUCGGGAGAAGGCACGCUGGUGUGUAGGUGAAGUCCCUGCGGAUGGAGCUGAGACCAGUCGAAGAUACCAGCUGGCUGCAACUGUUUAUUAAAAACACAGCACUGUGCAAACACGAAAGUGGACGUAUACGGUGUGACGCCUGCCCGGUGCCGGAAGGUUAAUUGAUGGGGUUAUCCGUAAGGAGAAGCUCUUGAUCGAAGCCCCGGUAAACGGCGGCCGUAACUAUAACGGUCCUAAGGUAGCGAAAUUCCUUGUCGGGUAAGUUCCGACCUGCACGAAUGGCGUAAUGAUGGCCAGGCUGUCUCCACCCGAGACUCAGUGAAAUUGAACUCGCUGUGAAGAUGCAGUGUACCCGCGGCAAGACGGAAAGACCCCGUGAACCUUUACUAUAGCUUGACACUGAACAUUGAGCCUUGAUGUGUAGGAUAGGUGGGAGGCUUUGAAGCGUGGACGCCAGUCUGCGUGGAGCCAACCUUGAAAUACCACCCUUUAAUGUUUGAUGUUCUAACGUUGGCCCCUGACCGGGGUUGCGGACAGUGUCUGGUGGGUAGUUUGACUGGGGCGGUCUCCUCCCAAAGCGUAACGGAGGAGCACGAAGGUUAGCUAAUCCUGGUCGGACAUCAGGAGGUUAGUGCAAUGGCAUAAGCUAGCUUGACUGCGAGCGUGACGGCGCGAGCAGGUGCGAAAGCAGGUCAUAGUGAUCCGGUGGUUCUGAAUGGAAGGGCCAUCGCUCAACGGAUAAAAGGUACUCCGGGGAUAACAGGCUGAUACCGCCCAAGAGUUCAUAUCGACGGCGGUGUUUGGCACCUCGAUGUCGGCUCAUCACAUCCUGGGGCUGAAGUAGGUCCCAAGGGUAUGGCUGUUCGCCAUUUAAAGUGGUACGCGAGCUGGGUUUAGAACGUCGUGAGACAGUUCGGUCCCUAUCUGCCGUGGGCGCUGGAGAAUUGAGGGGGGCUGCUCCUAGUACGAGAGGACCGGAGUGGACGCAUCACUGGUGUUCGGGUUGUCAUGCCAAUGGCACUGCCCGGUAGCUAAAUGCGGAAGAGAUAAGUGCUGAAAGCAUCUAAGCACGAAACUUGCCCCGAGAUGAGUUCUCCCUGAGACUAUAAGUCUCCUGAAGGAACGUU
rnacentral:rRNA from 1 species